rnacentral:lncRNA from 1 species
AUGUGGGCCACACAGAGACUGAAAUGGAAUUGUAAGGUCAUCUGGAAUCCUGGGUGGUUCCAGGAAUGUUGGCCUCAGGAGCUUAUGGACCUUGACUCUGGAUUGGCUGGCAUGGCUGAAAUGUCCUUCUCUGAGAUCUAUAUGAUGCUUGGAUUGUCCAGACCUCAUUCAUGGUCCUGUCCCUGGAGUUGGGGUAGCGGCCAGCCUUGCUGCAGCUACUUGUGGUUAGGACUACAGCACUGGAUGCAGACUGCUUGGUUUUUAAACGGUGUCAACGGCCAUUAUUUGUCCAAAGCCUUGUGGUGGAGGAUGACCGGAGUGAAGAGAGACUGAGCAAGGGGUCUCUGAAUCAUGGCAGAGAUGGCACCGUAAAAACAAAGCAAUGGUUUCUUCCUGAUGGAGACAAGCCAGUUGAGACCCAAAUAAGACCUGGAGGAAAAUCAUCCCAGAGGUGCCUUGUGCCUAGUAUGAAGGUGACCUUGCUUUCUUAGCCAGAGAAGGGAGUAAAGGUCAGGAAAUCAAGUGGCUGGCUGGAAUAUGAAGGGUAAAGAUGAAGAAAGAAGAAUCUGGGUUCUAAGCUCAUCCUCAGGCACCCACUGUAAACAUCACCUUUACAGUGUCCCUGAGAGGUGGUGGUCCCUCUGGUUCAACACAGGAAACUCACUGCUUCAACUUAAGGUGGCACAUUCAGUCCACUGUUAGACAACUCUGAUGAUUUGAAUCGUUUUCUGUUAAGAUUAAAUUGAUCUCCUUGCCAGACUGAUCUUUUGUUAUUAGUUAUAUCAGUUAUCGAUCACUGCAUAACAAAUUGCUCCAAAAUGUAGCAGCUUAAAGAGAGUCAGCAUUUAUUAUCUCCCAGUGUUUUCGAGGGUCAGGGAUUUAGGAACAGCUUAGCUGGGUAUUUGUGGCUCAGAGUAUUUCAUGAAGUUGAAGUCAAUCCUUCAGGCAGGGCUGCAGUCCUCAGAGUUAACUGGGGGUUGGAAGGUGGGCUUGUAAGAUGGCUCCAUCACAUGGCUGUUGGCAGAAGGCUUUCAUUGCUGACUCUUGCCAGGUAGACCUCUCCAUAGGGUGUCCUCAGGACAUGGCAGCUGGCUUCCCCCACAGCAAGUGGUCCGAGAGGGAGAGAGAGCAAGGUGGAAUCCACAAUGCCGGUCGUGACCUAGUCUUGGAAGUCACAUAUUGCCAUUUCUGCCGCAUUCUUUUAGAAGUGAGUCACUAUGCCCGGGCCACAUUCCAGGUGAAAGAGCUUAGGCUCCACCUUUUCAAGGGAAAAGUAUAGAAGCAUUUGUGGACAUAUCUAAAAACUACCAGAGUCAUAGUUCUCCUAAAUGAUACUGUAG